rnacentral:rRNA from 1 species
GGUCAAGUGAAGAAGCGCAUACGGUGGAUGCCUUGGCAGUCAGAGGCGAUGAAAGACGUGGUAGCCUGCGAAAAGCUUCGGGGAGUCGGCAAACAGACUUUGAUCCGGAGAUGUCUGAAUGGGGGAACCCAGCCAUCAUAAGAUGGUUACCUUACACUGAAUACAUAGGUGUAUGGAGCGAACCAGGGGAACUGAAACAUCUAAGUACCCUGAGGAAAAGAAAUCAACCGAGAUUCCCUUAGUAGUGGCGAGCGAACGGGGACUAGCCCUUAAGUGGCUUUGAGAUUAGCGGAACGCUCUGGAAAGUGCGGCCAUAGUGGGUGAUAGCCCUGUACGCGAAAAUCUCUUAGUCAUGAAAUCGAGUAGGACGGAGCACGAGAAACUUUGUCUGAAUAUGGGGGGACCAUCCUCCAAGGCUAAAUACUACUGACUGACCGAUAGUGAACUAGUACCGUGAGGGAAAGGCGAAAAGAACCCCGGAGAGGGGAGUGAAAUAGAUCCUGAAACCGUAUGCGUACAAGCAGUGGGAGCCCACUUUGUUGGGUGACUGCGUACCUUUUGUAUAAUGGGUCAGCGACUUAUUUUCAGUGGCGAGCUUAACCGAAUAGGGGAGGCGUAGCGAAAGCGAGUCUUAAUAGGGCGUCUAGUCGCUGGGAAUAGACCCGAAACCGGGCGAUCUAUCCAUGGGCAGGUUGAAGGUUGGGUAACACUAACUGGAGGACCGAACCGACUACCGUUGAAAAGUUAGCGGAUGACCUGUGGAUCGGAGUGAAAGGCUAAUCAAGCUCGGAGAUAGCUGGUUCUCCUCGAAAGCUAUUUAGGUAGCGCCUCAUGUAUCACUGUAGGGGGUAGAGCACUGUUUCGGCUAGGGGGUCAUCCCGACUUACCAAACCGAUGCAAACUCCGAAUACCUACAAGUGCCGAGCAUGGGAGACACACGGCGGGUGCUAACGUCCGUCGUGAAAAGGGAAACAACCCAGACCGUCAGCUAAGGUCCCAAAGUUAUGGUUAAGUGGGAAACGAUGUGGGAAGGCUUAGACAGCUAGGAGGUUGGCUUAGAAGCAGCCACCCUUUAAAGAAAGCGUAAUAGCUCACUAGUCGAGUCGGCCUGCGCGGAAGAUGUAACGGGGCUCAAACCAUACACCGAAGCUACGGGUAUCACGUAAGUGAUGCGGUAGAGGAGCGUUCUGUAAGCCUGUGAAGGUGAGUUGAGAAGCUUGCUGGAGGUAUCAGAAGUGCGAAUGCUGACAUGAGUAACGACAAUGGGUGUGAAAAACACCCACGCCGAAAGACCAAGGUUUCCUGCGCAACGUUAAUCGACGCAGGGUUAGUCGGUCCCUAAGGCGAGGCUGAAAAGCGUAGUCGAUGGAAAACAGGUUAAUAUUCCUGUACUUCUGGUUAUUGCGAUGGAGGGACGGAGAAGGCUAGGCCAGCUUGGCGUUGGUUGUCCAAGUUUAAGGUGGUAGGCUGAGAUCUUAGGUAAAUCCGGGAU